rnacentral:rRNA from 1 species
UACGUAGGGCGCAAGCGUUAUCCGGAAUUAUUGGGCGUAAAGAGCUCGUAGGCGGUUUGUCGCGUCUGCCGUGAAAGUCCGGGGCUCAACUCCGGAUCUGCGGUGGGUACGGGCAGACUAGAGUGAUGUAGGGGAGACUGGAAUUCCUGGUGUAGCGGUGAAAUGCGCAGAUAUCAGGAGGAACACCGGUGGCGAAGGCGGGUCUCUGGGCAGCAACUGACGCUGAGGAGCGAAAGCGUGGGGAGCGAACAGG